GUUUUAAUAAUUUAAAUAAAAUACUGGUCUUGUAAAUCAGAAAUAAGUUCAACUUUUAAAACU
rnacentral:tRNA from 1 species